AAUGAUGAGCCUGAUUAAAGGACUAUCGUGAUAGGAUAAAACAUGUAGUCAAAACUACCUUCAUUA
rnacentral:tRNA from 1 species